UCUGGAUUCACAAGACGUUGCGCCUCGUCUUGUAUUCCCGGAGUCUCCCUCAGCAGAACCCUUUGCCUCAGCAGUAACCUCUGCCCCGGCAUAACCCUCUGCUAUAGCAGUACCCUCUGCUAUAGUAGAACCCUCUGCUUUCUGACUCCAAAACCCAUACCUAGACCUGGCAGCAUGGUUAUAAAGAGUGCUUGACUCUUCACCAAGAUUCUGUUUUACCGGCCACGUCGCAUUUGGUUCCAAAUGCACAACCGUUGCCCUAUUUGAAACUUCCUUAUUUUUCGCUUGGUCAAUGGCCACUUUCGUUGAUGGUGAUAGACCUCCUGACAAUGGCCUUUUGUCAGUAUGAUGUAUACCAUCCUUUUCGUAUCUAUCUGUAUUCUCUUGUGAGGGCCAUUGAUCUUGGUUCACUCUUAUGCUUAUCUCUCCGGUCGGCGUCAGAUCAUGGAAAGUUUCACAGGACCGAGAUCGGGGGAGUACUGGUCUACCCUGGGCAGUUAACCUAGGUGUUUCAAAUUUAUUUUCCGCGCUAUCCAUUUUACUUAUUUUAUUUAUGCCUUAUCUUAAAUUAUUAUUAAACUUAUUGUAAGAAUAUAAAAAUGUAGGUACGUGCCUCCGCUGCCACCACUGUAACGAUAACCGAGCGGUCAGGCUUUGGUGUUAACUAUAAAUAUUGGAACCCUUAGUGUGUUGCUAUAAGAAUGGAAUAUAUGAACUAAAGUUAUAACUGGCGACUCUUCUUUGGUAACGUGGUUCUCUGGUAUCGUGGUAUUCGGGUAGAUCUACAGUUGGUUCUGUAUAGGUUUUGUGGUACGUUGUGGUAUUCUGAUAGAUCUUAGUUUGGUUCCGUUUAGGUUUUUGUAAGAAUAACAGACUCGUCGAAUAAAAAUCAACUUGUAUUUUAUACGUGCAAUAAAUAUCAGCAAUUCGUAGACAUAAUAAAUAACUUAAGUAACAGUAUUCUAG
rnacentral:lncRNA from 1 species